AUUUCUUUUAGGUUAAGAACAAGACUAUAAUUAUCCCAAACUUAUUUAAAAAUUGUAUCGAUUGAUGGAUUUUUCUGUCCAUUACAACCAAAUAUGUUCCAUAUUCUCUGGUGCAUGAUCACUUUCAUUGCCAUAACAAAUGUAUUACAUGGUCUCAUAUAAUCAAGUUACUAUACCUACAUUUUUGCUAAGUGAUUUUAAUGUUUAUACUGUGUGUAUCAUGUCAGUUUUCUUGUGAAUAUGAACAUUAGAGCUGCUAAAUCAAUGACUUUUAUUCCCUCUCACACAUAUCACAAGUAAAACAACACAUUAUCAGUAAAUAAACACAUUUUACCCUGUUCCACACACAAUGCUAUCUUAUGACAUCCAAAGACUUUUACUAUAGUGUAUACAUUGUAACAAGAUACAUUUUAACAUUUGCAUUACAUAACCAACUAUAUUUACAAGCUUGUUCUUGAGUGAUCAAAUCACAAAUAGAGUGAUGCGUGGUAGCUCAGUUGAUAAAGAGUUGCACUUGAGAUUUAAAGGACCGAGGUAUCAGUCCCAAAGAGUCGAUGCAUGGGCCUAAAGUGUCAAAGAAGCAUCACAAAAUGACGGUGUUGCUUCAGUGACACUAUGACACUAUUUGUUAUGACACCAUUGGUUAGGUUUACUUUUAAUGUUUAGGGCAGUGAGUUAGCUAGAGGAGAGGAGAGGAGAGAGACUAAAAUGAGAAGAGAUGGAAAUUAAUUAUGUCUAUGCUACUGGCUCAUCCAAGCGCAUUAUCUGUACUGUGGAAAAGGGUAACACCCAUAUUAGCCUAAAAAAGCCCUUUGUUCAUAAACAAUCUAUAUCCAUAUUCAUAAGAUAAUAAAGAUAAAUGAACUCAAACCAGGCAUGAAAUAAAAAAGGACAUCAAGCAAACCUAAAUUAUAGAUAGUCAUCUCAUAUUUGGAAAACCCAAACAACAGGUCUAUUGUUGCCGCGGCUCUCUGAGCAAACGGCACAUAACCAUAACCCAAGAUUUUUCCAGAAUAAACUGCCAAUGCUGAUUAAGAGCUUUUUACUGCAUGUUCAGGCAGUGUUUGGAUGUUGUUUACAACCUCUAAAAGUACAAUGACCCCAUUGUGAAACAAUCCCGUUUAAUACAGGGAUGAAUAUGGCCAACAAUUUUACAUCAAAUAAAUUAUUUCAAUGGUAUAUUAGGCUCUAUUUCAACAAUGAAUAUCCAACAGUGCUGCAGUCAAAAUACAGACUCUGCCUUUCCUUUCCUCUUCGUCUGAAAAAGAAAGCGAAUGCAUUUUUUUUUUUUUUUUGGCUCAUUAUACCAUGCCCAAUUUUAACAAUUUGACACUGUUCUUUACAGCGUAAGCAUGAGCCAGCAGCAGCUCCUGAAGACAGCUCAAAGCUUAAAAAUGUUAUAGCAUUCUGACAGUGAAAGGAAUAAAAGAUUAUUAAGGUGAAAUAUAACUUAUUAAUAGCUUUUACACAGAGCCUGCAUGCUUGAGAAGUUCACUUGCCAAUUAAAUUGAAUGAUGAUACAUUUUAAAUACAUUACAUUGCUUCAAAGAACAUGCAUAUAUUUAAAAAAGGAUUACAAUUUUGCUUUUUGAUAAACCUAGCAGAUGGAGGUGAAUUGAGAAAAUUGACUGGACGGUGUGUAUUUCUUAUUAGCCAUGAAACUGUAUUUUGUGUCAUUUUUCUCUUCAAUAAAUCUUUUAAAGUUACACUAUUUAACUUUUUGCCCUCUAGCAGCUGACACAUAGAACUGCAAGUUAUUUGCGAGGAAGGCUAUUUUGGUAAAUACGUCACUCGGGCUUCGUCUCUACUUUUCUACGCAGAUGAAUCUGAUGGUUUGUGGAGAACAGGUGUAACCACAGUUAAAAAAAUAAAAAUCACCCCCUCCCCAAAAAAUAAAUAAAUAACCAAAGGAGGAAAACGUCUCGGGUUACAUAUGUUUCCCUUGUUCCCUGAAAAAAGCAGAACGUGAUGCUGCGCUGAAGAGUGCUUUGGGAACACGUCUCAGUUGUGACCAGCUGUGAAUAUGUAUGUGUGGCAGGGCGGAGGGCGGGGCCGGGUCGUGAUCCUACGCACCCGGUCCCGUAUUAGGCUAAUCAAGCCUCUGAGGUUUAAAGGUCGACUGCAGAGGACCGUGCGGGAAGAACCCGAUACUGGAAGGCUUUGCCCUUUAAAGCGAACCUCAGGAACAUCCUGUGUUGUGGCAGAACUUCUAAGAGAAGAAGUGCAUCAUAAGAUCGAUGGUGACCAGCCAAACGUGAUGUUGGGCUUGUGACACGAACGUCUCGAUAGGCAGCAUCUUGGCUAGAACACCCAGACUGGGCAGUUCAAGCCUUAAGAUCUAAGGUCAGACGCAACCCCCCACCCUCCUUGGGAACCAGGAAGUAUUUGCUGUAAUAACCUGACUCUCUCUCUGGAAGGGGAACACGUUCCGUGGCCCCUUUAACCAAAAUAUUUAGCAGUUCGUUACGCUGUAGACAUGCCUGAUCUGGUUUACGGUAGUGGAGACCACACUGUUGAAAUACGGAGGGCGGCGAGCGAAUUUAAUUCUGUAGCCCUUUUCUACUGAUCUUAGGACCCACGUAAAAUAUCUGGCAGAAGUUUCUACACUGCCAGGUUCUCAGAGAUUUUUUAACACUUCCUGUUGAGGGGGUGUCGAGUGUUCCGUGUCCUGGAUAAAUGCAGAAAGCAGCGAAACACCCAACUUUUUGAUGGGAACCUCUACCUCCCAAAACACAGAAGGCAGUGGGAAUGGAGAGGUUUUGUGGGGGUACCAGGAGGGGCGAAGUGGUGAACGUGCCUCGUUCCGAGGGGAGCUACCCCCAGAAGACUAGGCGCAAGACCAUCAGGGUCCUGAGGACCAUCUUUCUUUAAAAUUUAGGGUCCUGAGGUCUUGCUUUGGGGGCUGUUGAGGGCGAUGAGACUGUCUCCAGUCACCGCGAGGGGGAGCACGACUCGCCACGCUUUGCUUUUGAGCCUCCCUUCUAACAGGACCGAGGCGGGUCUGGGUGGCCGACGGACCCGCCCCCUGAGUGCGGCGAGGGAGGAACUGCUCGAAGGCCUCCUCGUGGCUUUUCGCCUCUUAGAACAUGGUGAUAACCGUGCUCAUGGCGCCUCCGAAUAGGCCAGUACUCAAAACCGGGGCAUUAAGGAGGAAAACUUUAUCCUUGUCCUUGAUGCCCGAAAGGUUGAGCCAAAGGUGCCUCUCCAUGCUGACCAAGGCAGACAUAGACCGGUCAAUAGCACGGGCUGUUUGCUUGGUCGCGCGGAGAGAAAGAUCUGUGGCUCGACGAAGCUCAGAAAAAACUUGCUCAUCGAGCGCAGCACCCACACUCAGGCCGUCCAGCAGGUCAGCCUGGUAAGCCUGUAAUUCAGCCAUUGUAUGCAGAGCAGCACCAGCCUGACCUGCUACUUUAUAAGCCCUCCCCAUUAAAGUGGAGGUCAUCCUGCAAGGCUUUGUGGGGAGAGAGGACUUUUAAAAUGACGAUGCCGAGCCUGGCGAGAGAUAGCCCGCAAGCAUCUCUUCGACUGGCGGCAUCAUUGAAGGUCAUCAAAGAAAGGAAGGGACUAAUAGUGUUUUAUGGGGAGGGUGUGUCUCUUGUUUGCGUGGCCAGUCUAGCUGUAGUCUGGCCAGAGCCCGAGUAACCACCUCGAGAAAAUUUUUAUUAUUGAAAUGUACAGAGGUUCUGCGCCCCCCCUCGUGAAACAAAGAGGCGCCGAGACGCGCUUCAGGCUUACGAGAAGGAUCAGCUGGAUCUGGGGAGAGAGCGAGCGAUAGGGACGGACCCGUCUCUCGCUCCUCAGCCAGAUAUAUGCAAGAGCCCCACGAUGAAAGAGUGGCCGCUGUCUCCUGGAAGUAAGCGAGGCGAGCAUGAAGCAUUUCGCCCGAAAGCAGAUCGCCAACGAGAGAGCAGCAUGCUCUUCCCCCAAACAAACAAAACUAAAUUGCUCUGAUUCUCAGUCAUUCUCUCUCUAUUUAUAUAUAUAUUUAUAGAAAGCAGAGAAAGGAGAAAAGGUUCACUGCACACUUCCUAACAGAAUCUUACUCCUAACAGAGGAAAGAAAGUUUGACAGCUUCGUGAUAGCACACAGCACAGAAUGGCUCUGAAGACGAAAAAUCUGAUGACGCACCGGUGAAGCAUCUAUUUAUAGCCACUGCGCCAAUGAUUACAUCGGCAGAGGCUAUAAAUUCCAGUCAAUGUUCAUUGACAUGUUGCAUACAUAUUCACAGCUGGUCACAACUGAGACGUGUUCCCAAAGCGCUCUUCAGCGCAGCAUCAUAGUGAAGAUUUUGUAAAGGGAACGACUAUUAUAACUUAGCUAGCAGGCAAAUAGGCCAAGGUACACUAAAAAAAUCCUGUAAAUUUACAUGGAUAUACUGCAAAAUACUGUUUUCAUGUAAUAGCUGUAAGUUGCUUUUUUUCGCAAUGCAUUAUGGGAGGACUUGGUCUCUUCAAAUUGCAUGCUGAUAAGCAAAAGUAUGACACAUGUUAUUUAACAGUAUUAUACCAUAUUUUCUCCAUGUGCAUGGAAGAGGCAAGACAUUUUGGAUUGUCAGCAUGAGGUAAUUUUGGAACUCAGCCUAUGAUUGUAUUAUCUGUAAUUACCUAUUACUUUUAAAUAUAACAUUUUAAACAUCCAAUGAAGCUUUUGUGAUUUAAAUCAGAUUAUUCGAUUGCAUGUUUUAAUCAGGCAAAGGAGUGAUUGAGCGAGUUUAUAAGCACACGACUGCAUUUGCACACACUGGUAAGUAACCUGAAAUAUUAUCCAACCUGCACGUUUUCCUAAACUUUGUCUGAUUAACAUGAAUGGAAAAUUAAUUAUGUUUUUUUUAUUUUCUGGUUACACAUUUAAUGUGCGCAUUCAAACCGUACAUGUGAGAGACAUUUUGGGUUAUCUGCUAUUUGCAACUCCGCCUAUGAUUUGAAUAUAUGUAAGUUACCAAGUACUUCUUAAUAUUACAUUAAAAAGACCAGUCAAGCCUUUAUCAUUUAAAUUAGAUGACGGUAUACUGGACGGUAUACCGUAUACGGCACCUGAACUUCAUGCAACAGGCACAUGUCCAAAUCUUUAUCUGAGUAAAAGAUAAGUGAAGUUACGAACAAAAUUCAUAAUUCUUGUGUGAUUAAUGUGAACAUGCAUAUUCAAACACCUACUGGCUUGAAUGCAUAACUAUUAGCGGCAUGACAAUACACAGCGAUGUCUCAAAUAUUGUUAUUCAUUGCUGCAUAGGAAACUGUAAUAGGACGUUUAAAAAACAUGAAGGUUUGAAAUUGCACGUGUACAGACACCAUAAAGGAUAUGUAGAACCCACAAUGUGCACUACACAUUCCUUGGAAUGUCAUUCUUUACCUGAGUUUAUUUCUCGUAUUAAAAUGCACAUUAAAGAGGGAAGAAAAGUCACAUGCCCUUUCAAGCAGUGUGGCAAAACAUUUGCUGUUGUAUCAACAUUUACCUCUCACUUGUGUAGAAAACAUAAAAAUACAGGAGGCUUAAUUAACACCAUUAACUUCUUUCGCACAUUUUGAGCUUCUCACUGACAUCGAUGUCCUGCAUGCACCUAAACUUUCUAUGGAGGAGUGUGGAAACAACAUGGUAGAGUUUUUUUUUAAAGCAAACCUACCAACCCAGAAGUUAAGUCAGUCCUUUCCAAAGAGGAAGCCAUUGAAUCAUCAAACCACAUAGUUCAACUCCUAAUGGCUCACUUCAUAGAGAAGAAAGUGUAAGUUUGUCUUCACAUUCAUUGUGUUUGUUCUUUGUAUGAAUACCUUCAUAAAAUGGUUCACCUAAAAAUUAUAGUUCUCUCAACAUUUACAUUACAUGUCCAUCAAAAUAUCAUCUUUUGUGGCAUACGUGUUUAAAUCAACAAGGGUGAGACAAUUAUCAUUUUUGGAUAAAAUAUUCCUAUUUGGAAUAUAACAGGCCUAUUGGCUUGGUACAUUAUUAGCAGUAGCACAUUGGUUUCUUUUUUCAUAAAUUGUUAUCUUUACAAAUAGAUGUCUACUGCUGACCUUGAGAAGACGGGUAACCUGCCUGUGACUCCUCGUUUGAUCCUGCUUGGUCCAGGUGAUAUUCCUGGGCAAUGGAUGAAGAUCAACGAAAAAUGACGGAAGAUCAGCCUGGAAGGCCGAAUAAUCUGUGAGGGUGUGUAGCCAAGUUUUGUCACUGGACUUGCUGCAUUGUUUUCUUUGUAUUACAUCUUUAAUUUGCAGUACCAAGAGGAAGCAACAUCCACACUGGAAUUCCUUCAAAGACACUUUAUUGGAAUAAAUCUGGAAAAGGCUGGAUCAAGACUUCACAGGGAUCACAGGGAAAAGUGGUGUCUAAAAAAAAACUGGAAAAACUCUGCAGAAGAAGACUGUAACUGUCAGUACAGAGGUAUCAAAUCUCUUAAAAAAACUGAUGGACUUUGAGUGAGACUUCAUUUAAAAUGUAUCUGACACUCCCCACCAAUGCGGUUUAUUUUUCACAUAAUAUGGUGGGCUGGAGUGUUGCUGAAGGAUGAUUUUGUUUUUUUUACUGAUUUGUAUUUUAAUCUGGAGCAGCUGCCCCGCGACCUGACUUCGGAUAAGCGGUUGAAGAUGGAUGGAUAUAUUUUAUAAACCAUUUGUUUUGAUAUUAAAAUGGGCUGGUGUUUUUGAAGUCUGAUUUGACAGUAGAUUUGUAUUUUAUAUAAAGCUAAGUAAUUUCACAUUUUUUGUUUUGUGUAAUGUUCUGCUUUUAACUUAAGUCAUUUGUGUAUUUUGAUUUGUUGAUGGGUGCUUUUUUGUUGCAACACAGCACUGAAUAUUAUUUGAAUACUUUUAUUUAUUUAUUGCCUGUUUUAGUGCAUAUUGAUAAAUAUGUUGUUGUUUCAG